rnacentral:lncRNA from 1 species
CAUUGGAAUCCAAGUACCCUAUGGAGCUUGCCUUGGAGAAUGACUUCUUCUAUCCUUGCCAUCAUGAUAGCGCCUUUGGCUGGUAUUUUGACUCCGACCUCUGUUUACUUGCAAACUUGAGCGACUACCAGCGGCUAGUCCUUCCUAACCGUGUAAGUAUCUGUGUAUUCACAACUUUGAAUUGAGUGAUGCAUAUACACUUAAUCUGUGCUCAUGCGGCCAGUAACCAAUUUCUUCUUCUCUUCUUACCUUUGAAUGGGUGACCACAAAUAUUUCUCUAACAGCUUGGUUAGUUAAUGAAUCAUGACUGCAAUUUCUCAUUGUUUUUAUAGCUUGGCUUUGUGUGAGUAACCUCUUUGUUCCAGGGGCUUGAGGUUCUUGCCGAAAUGCAAAAAUAAAACUAUGAACGUCACAUCCUCUGGAGAUUAAACACAGCUUAAAAUAUGUGUCUUUGCAAUAAAUUAUGGAAAAUCUCAUAAACUGUGCAUGGUAGAAGAAAAAGACAAGAAUUAUAACUUCUUACCUGAGAGUUUAUUAUACUGAUGCAUUUUUUGCACGGAGCAAGUCCUAAAAAAAUCACAUGCAGACAACUCCCAUAUACGAGUACCAUACUUUUUCUGUAUGUGUAACCAGAUUUUUGCCUGAUAUCCCUAGGCCCCAUAUAGUUUACAUGUUACAAUACUGUUAUUUUUUUUGAAUUUUGUGAAGUGCGAAAGUACUGUAACCAAUGAUAGUCACACACAUAUUAAGAGCAUUCCAUGCCCUUAUGCCCAGCUUGUUAUUCUCAGGACAGCUGUGAUAUGCUGCUUCCCUUCCUUUCUGGUGCAGGGUGGGAAUGAGUAUGAAUAUGACAGAUGGAGUCAGUACAAAUCGUUUUAUAACACCCCUGAUGCUGAUAGAGAGUAUGUGCUGUACUGGGAAAAGAUGGUCAAGGAAAUGAAGGUAUUCAUGGUGCAAUGAUCAGCCAGUCCAAGUUUAAAACUUUGUUCAGUAAAAAAGAAAUUGGACUAACAACCUUCUGUUCUUAAAAGUGGCUUGAAAAUCAUGUGCUUAAAGAUUUUCUGGAGGUAGGCCUAUAUGACCUCUCAAAACCAUGGAAUGACAACUAAUCUUGCAUACGCAUUGUAGCAUCACAAUAACUUCUCUGUUCUACUAUUUAGUGGGAGCCAAUGCGCCGUAAAGGUUUGUACCAAUCAAUUAAGAUUGCCAAUGGGUUCAGCAACAUUCAUUUGGGUCUAGCAUGUCAUGGUUUCGAGGUACAAUUCCUUUGUCGCUUGCUCAUUUAGAUGGUCAGCUCUAGUUAUGAUUAUAUCUAACAAUCGCAAUCUUUCGAUUAAAUUUAGGAGUAUGUAUUGAGGACUCGCCUUUAUCGUCUGUUUGUGGAAGGUCUUUACCGUGCCUUUCUUGAGAUUUGGAAGCGGGUCAAUGAGGGUCAGGUCAGCAUUGUACAUCAGAACUAACAACAGUUUAUGAUUAUUGAUCAGGUUUGUCAAUGCUUUCUAACCCUGUAUAUGCUCGGUGUUGGUGUUUUCUUCUUUGUUGGACAACUUCUAGACGUCUUUCAGAGAUGCUCUGCAGGAAGUUUACAAUGAGAAUCCGGUUCCAUUGCGCCAACAUACUUUGAAGGCUGAGCUGGAGUGCCUGCAUGAUAGCGCCUUUGGCUGGUAUUUUGACUCCGACCUCUGUUUACUUGCAAACUUGAGCGACUACCAGCGGCUAGUCCUUCCUAACUCUGUAAGUAUAUGUGUAUUCACAACUUUGAGUUGAGUGAUGCAGAUACACUUAAUCUGUGCUCAUGCGGCCAGUAACCAAUUUCUUCUUCUCUUCUUACCUUUGAAUGGGUGACCACAAAUAUUUCUCUGACAGCAUGGAUAGUUAAUGAAUCAUGACUGCAAUUUCUCAUUGUUUUUAUAGCUUGGCUUUCUGUGAGUAACGUCUUUGUUCAAGGGGCCUGAGGUUCUUGCCGAAAUGCAAAA